rnacentral:rRNA from 1 species
GACGAACGCUGGCGGCGUGCUUAACACAUGCAAGUCGAACGGAAAGGCCCUGCUUUUGUGGGGUGCUCGAGUGGCGAACGGGUGAGUAACACGUGAGUAACCUGCCCUUGACUUUGGGAUAACUUCAGGAAACUGGGGCUAAUACCGGAUAGGAGCUCCUGCUGCAUGGUGGGGGUUGGAAAGUUUCGGCGGUUGGGGAUGGACUCGCGGCUUAUCAGCUUGUUGGUGGGGUAGUGGCUUACCAAGGCUUUGACGGGUAGCCGGCCUGAGAGGGUGACCGGCCACAUGGGGACUGAGAUACGGACCAGACGGCUACGGGAGGCAGCAGUGGGGAAUAUUGCACAACGGGCGGAAGCCUGAUGCAGCAACGCCGCGUGCGGGAUGACGGCCUUCGGGUGGUAAACCGCUUUCGCCUGUGACGAAGCGUGAGUGACGGUAAUGGGUAAAGAAGCACCGGCUAACUACGUG